rnacentral:rRNA from 1 species
UACGUAGGGGGCAAGCGUUGUCCGGAAUCAUUGGGCGUAAAGAGCGCGUAGGCGGCCCUGUAAGUCCGCUGUGAAAGUCAAGGGCUCAACCCUUGGAUGCCGGUGGAUACUGCAGGGCUAGAGUCCGGAAGAGGCGAGUGGAAUUCCUGGUGUAGCGGUGAAAUGCGCAGAUAUCAGGAGGAACACCGGUGGUGUAAACGGCUUUCUGGACCAUAACUGACGCUGAGGCACGAAAGCGUGGGUAGCAAACAGG